UCCCCAACAACUGACCAAACUCCAGUCCAGGCAGCCAGCAGGCCCAGGGCUGGUGUGGCCUUGCUGCUUCCUUUGGCAGCUCUCGAGGUCUAGGGGGAGGGGUCCUGGACCAACUGGGGUCUGUCAGGUCAUCCCUGCAGCCACAGCCCACCCCACAGGGACCCCUGCCUUCCACCAGAGAGGACAGCCCUCUUCCUGGAGCUGGGCUCUGACGCUGGCUGGUGCCGACAGCAGAUACCAGAGUCAAGUGCGGAGGAAGGUGUGGCGCAACCAGAACUCCUAGAUGCUACUGACCAAAGUGACAGUUGGGGGGCAAGAUCGAGCAAUUUGCCAACAUCUCAUCAAAGUGAAGAUGCCCACUUCCUGAAAUCCAGAAAUUCCACUCCUCCACAUUAUCCUAGAGAAACUCUCACCCACAGGUAUAAGAAUGUUCUUUGUAGCUUCGUUUAAAAUAGUGAAAAGCUGGAAACAACUCCAUUGUCAAAAACUGGAAUAAAUAUACUUUGGGAUGUUCCUUCACAGCAUUUUCAGUGAGUGCCCUAGUGCUGCUUGUAGCUGCAUGGGAAGAUCCAAAAAUAAAAGGAAGUUGCUGAAGGAUACAUACAACAUUUGAAUAAGUUUUCCAGAUAU